rnacentral:tRNA from 1 species
AAGGUUUUAAGUUAAAUAAACUAAUAACCUUCAAAGUUAUAAAUAAAGGGAUUCUUUAAGCCUUAAAAAUUUACU